rnacentral:rRNA from 1 species
UACGAAGGGGGGCUAGCGUUGCUCGGAAUCACUGGGCGUAAAGGGUGCGUAGGCGGGUUUUUAAGUCAGAGGUGAAAUCCUGGAGCUCAACUCCAGAACUGCCUUUGAUACUGAAAGUCUUGAGUAUGGGAGAGGUGAGUGGAACUGCGAGUGUAGAGGUGAAAUUCGUAGAUAUUCGCAAGAACACCAGUGGCGAAGGCGGCCAACUGGGACCAUUACUGACGCUGAGGCGCGAAAGCGUGGGGAGCGAACAGG